rnacentral:pre_miRNA from 1 species
AGAUCACCAGGUCCUGGAUUUGAACCAUGGUGAGCCAAGUGGAAGUCCAGCACCGUAACCACCACACCACCUGCUGGCUCCCAGAGUCAAUCCUAAAUUAAAAUAUUCUAAUUACUGUUAUGAUUAAAUCUGGGCCAGCAGGUGGUGUGGUGGUUACGGUGCUGGACUUCCACUUGGCUCACCAUGGUUCAAAUCCAGGACCUGGUGAUCU